rnacentral:rRNA from 1 species
AUGAGAGUUUGAUCCUGGCUCAGGAUGAACGCUGACAGAAUGCUUAACACAUGCAAGUCUACUUGAUCCUUCGGGUGAUGGUGGCGGACGGGUGAGUAACGCGUAAAGAACUUGCCUUGCAGUCUGGGACAACGUCUGGAAACGGACGCUAAUACCGGAUAUUAUGAUUGAAUCGCAUGAUUUAAUUAUGAAAGCUAUAUGCGCUGCGAGAGAGCUUUGCGUCCCAUUAGUUAGUUGGUGAGGUAACGGCUCACCAAGACGAUGAUGGGUAGCCGGCCUGAGAGGGUGAACGGCCACAAGGGGACUGAGACACGGCCCUUACUCCUACGGGAGGCAGCAGUGGGGAAUAUUGGACAAUGGACCAAAAGUCUGAUCCAGCAAUUCUGUGUGCACGAUGAAGUUUUUCGGAAUGUAAAGUGCUUUCAGUUGGGAAGAAGAAAGUGACGGUACCAACAGAAGAAGCGACGGCUAAAUACGUGCCAGCAGCCGCGGUAAUACGUAUGUCGCAAGCGUUAUCCGGAUUUAUUGGGCGUAAAGCGCGUCUAGGCGGUUUGGUAAGUCUGAUGUGAAAAUGCGGGGCUCAACUCCGUAUUGCGUUGGAAACUGUCAAACUAGAGUACUGGAGAGGUAGGCGGAACUACAAGUGUAGAGGUGAAAUUCGUAGAUAUUUGUAGGAAUGCCGAUGGGGAAGCCAGCCUACUGGACAGAUACUGACGCUAAAGCGCGAAAGCGUGGGUAGCAAACAGGAUUAGAUACCCUGGUAGUCCACGCCGUAAACGAUGAUUACUAGGUGUGGGGGGACUGACCCCUUCCGUGCCGGAGUUAACACAAUAAGUAAUCCACCUGGGGAGUACGGCCGCAAGGCUGAAACUCAAAGGAAUUGACGGGGGCCCGCACAAGCAGUGGAGUAUGUGGUUUAAUUCGAAGCAACGCGAAGAACCUUACCAGGUCUUGACAUCGAGUGACGAACAUAGAGAUAUGUUCUUCCUUCGGGACACGAAGACAGGUGGUGCAUGGUUGUCGUCAGCUCGUGUCGUGAGAUGUUGGGUUAAGUCCCGCAACGAGCGCAACCCUUAUCAUUAGUUGCUACGCAAGAGCACUCUAAUGAGACUGCCGUUGAUAAAACGGAGGAAGGUGGGGAUGACGUCAAAUCAUCAUGCCCCUUAUGACCUGGGCUACACACGUACUACAAUGGUGAUCAAACAGAGGGAAGCAACACAGCGAUGUGAAGCAGAACCCGAAAAAUCAUCUCAGUUCAGAUUGCAGGCUGCAACUCGCCUGCAUGAAGUCGGAAUUGCUAGUAAUCGCGGAUCAGCAUGCCGCGGUGAAUACGUUCCCGGGCCUUGUACACACCGCCCGUCACACCAUGGGAGUCGGUAACACCCGAAGCCAGUAGCCUAACCGCAAGGAGGGCGCUGUCGAAGGUGGGAUUGAUGACUGGGGUGAAGUCGUAACAAGGUAGCCGUAAAU